CCUACGGGAUGCUGCAGUGGGGAAUAUUGGGCAAUGGGCGCAAGCCUGACCCAGCAACGCCGCGUGAAGGAAGAAGGCUCUCGGGUUGUAAACUUCUUUUAUCAGGGACGAAGCAAUCGACGGUACCUGCUGAAUAAGCCUCGGCUAACUACGGGCCAGCAGCCGCGGUAAUCCGUAGGUGGCAAGCGUUAUCCGGAUUUGAUGGGUGUACAGGGCGUGUAGGCGGGAAAGCAAGUCAGAUGUGAAAACCAUGGGCUCAACCUGUGACCUGCAUUUGAAACUGAUUAUCUUGAGUACUGGAGAGGCAGGCGGAAUUCCUGGUGUAGCGGUGAAAUGCGUAGAUAUUAGGAGGAACACCAGUGGCGAAGGCGGUCUGCUGGACAGCAACUGACGCUGAGGCGCGAAAGCGUGGGGAGCAAACAGGAUUAGAUACCCCUGUAGUC
rnacentral:rRNA from 1 species